rnacentral:misc_RNA from 1 species
GAUGAAGAACGUAGCAAAAUGCGAUAAGUAAUGUGAAUUGCAGAAUUCAGUGAAUCAUCGAAUCUUUGAACGCACAUUGCGCCCGCCAGUAUUCUGGCGGGCAUGCCUGUUCGAGCGUCAUUUCAACCCUCAAGCUCAGCUUGGUGUUGGGACUCGCGGUAAACCGCGUUCCCCAAAUCGAUUGGCGGUCACGUCGAGCUUCCAUAGCGUAGUAAUCAUACACCUCGUUACUGGUAAUCGUCGCGGCCACGCCGUAAAACCCCAACUUCUGAAUGUUGACCUCGGAUCAGGUAGGAAUACCCGCUGAACUUAAGCAUAUCAAUAAGCGGAGGA